UACGGAAGGCAGCAGUGGGGAAUAUUGCACAAUGGGCGCAAGCCUGAUGCAGCCAUGCCGCGUGUAUGAAGAAGGCCUUCGGGUUGUAAAGUACUUUCAGUCGUGAGGAAGGUGUUAAGGUUAAUAACCUUAGCAAUUGACGUUAGCGACAGAAGAAGCACCGGCUAACUCCGUGCCAGCAGCCGCGGUAAUACGGAGGGUGCGAGCGUUAAUCGGAAUUACUGGGCGUAAAGGGCACGCAGGCGGUUAAUUAAGUUGGGAUGUGAAAUCCCCGGGCUUAACCUGGGAAUGGCAUUCAAGACUGGUUAGCUAGAGUCUUGUAGAGGGGGGUAGAAUUCCAUGUGUAGCGGUGAAAUGCGUAGAGAUGUGGAGGAAUACCGGUGGCGAAGGCGGCCCCUGGACAAAGACUGACGCUCAUGUGCGAAAGCGUGGGGAGCAAACAGGGAUUAGAUACC
rnacentral:rRNA from 1 species